GACGAACGCUGGCGGCGUGCUUAACACAUGCAAGUCGAACGGUAAGGCCUUCGGGUACACGAGUGGCGAACGGGUGAGUAACACGUGGGCAACCUGCCCCUCACUCUGGGAUAACGCCGGGAAACCGGCGCUAAUACCGGAUACGACCAGGCGCGACAUCUCGCCUGGUGGAAAGAAUUUCGGUGAGGGAUGGGCCCGCGGCCUAUCAGCUAGUUGGUGGGGUAACGGCCCACCAAGGCGACGACGGGUAGCCGGCCUGAGAGGGCGACCGGCCACACUGGGACUGAGACACGGCCCAGACUCCUACGGGAGGCAGCAGUGGGGAAUAUUGCGCAAUGGGCGAAAGCCUGACGCAGCGACGCAGCGUGAGGGACGAAGGCCUUCGGGUUGUAAACCUCUUUCAGCGGGGACGAAGCGAAAGUGACGGUACCCGCAGAAGAAGCACCGGCUAACUACGUGCCAGCAGCCGCAGUAAGAC
rnacentral:rRNA from 1 species